UAAAGAGUUGUUGUGGUCACCCA
rnacentral:siRNA from 1 species